UGACAAAGUUUAACGGCCGCGGUAUACUGACCGCGCGAAGGUAGCAUAAUCACUUGUUCUUUAAAUAAGGACUAGUAUCAACGGCAUCACGAGGGUUAUACUGUCUCCUUUCUCCAAUCAGUGAAACUAAUCUCCCCGUGAAGAAGCGGGGAUACAACUAUAAGACGAGAAGACCCCAUGGAGCUUUAAGCUCAACAUCAACUCUUAAUACAAACUCCACUUAACCAAAGAGAUAUGAUUGUUAGCUUUAGGUUGGGGUGACCGCGGAGUACAACAAAACCUCCACGCUGAACGGGCCUUAACCCUUAUCUAAGAGCUACUGCUCUAAGAAUUACUAAACUGACGCAAAAUGAUCCGAUCUUCGAUCAACGGACCAAGUUACCCUGGGGAUAACAGCGCAAUCCACUCCAAGAGCCCCUAUCGACGAGCGGGUUUACGACCUCGAUGUUGGAUCAGGGUAUCCUGGUGGCGC
rnacentral:rRNA from 1 species